GUAGGUGAACCUGCGGAGGGAUCAUUACACAACAAAAUAUGAAGGCCUGGCUUUCGCGGCCGGCUGAAGUAUUUUUUUCACCCAUGUCUUUUGCGCACUUGUUGUUUCCUGGGCGGGUUCGCCCGCCACCAGGACCAAACCAUAAACCUUUUUUUCUUAUGCAGUUUCCAUCAGCGUCAGUAAAAACAAUGUAAUUAUUACAACUUUCAACAACGGAUCUCUUGGUUCUGGCAUCGAUGAAGAACGCAGCGAAAUGCGAUACGUAGUGUGAAUUGCAGAAUUCAGUGAAUCAUCGAAUCUUUGAACGCACAUUGCGCCCUUUGGUAUUCCAAAGGGCAUGCCUGUUCGAGCGUCAUUUGUACCUUCAAGCUUUGCUUGGUGUUGGGCGUUUUUUUGUUUCCCUCUUUCUGGGAGACUCGCCUUAAAACGAUUGGCAGCCGGCCUACUGGUUUCGGAGCGCAGCACAUUUUUUGCGCUUUGUAUCAGGAGAAAAGGACGGUACUCCAUCAAGACUCUACAUUUUUCACUUUUGACCUCGGAUCAGGUAGGGAUACCCGCUGAACUUAAGCAUAUCAAUAAGCGGAGGA
rnacentral:rRNA from 1 species